rnacentral:tRNA from 1 species
GUUCUUAUAGUGUAUAUAAGCACGUUAGAUUUUCAAUCUUUCAGAACAUGAUUGAAAUGUUAAGAAUA